AUGUCUCUCCUUAGUUAUUUGUUUAGGCACUUAUAAUUAUAGAGAUAUUUGUGCUUUUUU
rnacentral:sRNA from 1 species